UGUUAUUUCAAUCAGUUAUGACAAGUGUA
rnacentral:piRNA from 1 species